UUGAAAGGGAAACGAUUGAAGUCAGUCAUACCAACGGGAAAUCAACCUUUUGAGCUCGGUCUCGUGGGUUUUGAAGAGUUUCAAAGCCUUCGGAUUCGCGGGAUUGGGAUCUCUUGGUGUACUUUUUCGACCGGUUAGUCAACAUCGGUUUUGAAUGUCAUAAAAUGACUGGAGGAAUGUAGCUUCGAUCUCGUAUUGAAGUGUUAUAGCCUUUGGUAGAUGUGAUGUUUGAGACCGAGGAUUGCAACGGAUACCCUUCAGGGCUAUUCGUCUGAUCUCUGAUACGUUGCCCUGAUGUUGAAAGCUUGCUUAUGAUGUUAGGGUAUUACGGUCAAAAGGUUAGAACGAAUUACAUUCGUUAAGGAUGUUGACGUA
rnacentral:rRNA from 1 species